AUGGCGGCGAGCCGCCAGGACUCGAGACCCGAGCAAAGCUCUCAAAUCUCUCGCUACCUCGGCGAAUGUUGGCCAGACCUGAGCGCGUCUCCAAGGGGCGGAGCCCGCGUCGUUAGCUUGGUUUUUGUUACUGUAGGGACCACCAGCUUUGACGACCUCAUUGCGUGUGUAUUGGCACACGACAGUCUGCAAAUAAUCCAGAGCCUUGGUUACAACCGACUUGUCCUACAAAUAGGUAGAGGAAAGGUGGUACCUGAACCAUUCAGUACUGAGUCAUUCACUCUGGAUAUUUACAGGUAUAAGGAUUCUCUGAAGGAAGACCUUCAGAAAGCAGAUCUUGUUAUUAGUCACGCAGGUGCAGGAAGCUGUUUGGAGACUUUGGAGAAAAGAAAGCCACUUAUAGUGGUUAUAAAUGAAAGGUUGAUGAACAAUCAUCAACUGAAAUUGGCAAAGCAGCUACACAAAGACGGGCAUCUCUUCUACUGUACCUGCAGCAUGCUUCCUGGGCUGUUACAGUCAAUGGACUUAUCAACACUGAAAUGUUUUCUUCCUGGCCAGCCAGAAAAAUUUUCUGCAUUUUUGGAUAAAGUUGUUGGAUUACAAAAAUAAACACUAAACUCUCAACACUUUAAAACACCCC